rnacentral:sRNA from 1 species
ACUCAACACUAAUUUUGUAUAAAGGGUGAGUCAGAGUUGUAAAAGCGCGCCGUACUUGACGUAAGUCUUGUCUAACGGAUUCUUGAUCAGCUCGUUAGCCCUAAUCCUUAUUUUCUGGAGUUU